CCUCUCUCUGUCACCCUAACGAAGCAUGGGCCGCUGCGUCGCUCACGCUGGCUCGACAGGUGUGCGGCUGCUGCUCGCGCCGGCAGUGACUGAAGACUCUCGGCUCGCUGCGGGCCCCGUAUCUUUCCUCAGACUCAGCAUGCGAACUGCUCUUUUUUUAUGGUCCAUGUGUCAUACUCUCCUCUAAACAAGGUACUUCAUGAUUAGACUACGGUGAAUAAGAUUGAAGUCGAAAAUAAAACAGAGUCCCGGCGGAACCGAUCGUCGUCCUCUUUAACUUCGGCAGGUGCUGAGGCAGAAGACUGAUUUUAAAAAUGAGAAGAAAAAUCUGAUAUUUACAGCACUUGCGUCUGGCGAUCUGAGAAAUAUGCUGGAUGGCCCUGGUUUAAAUUCAAUUCUUCAACACAAGCCGUUUAUUAAGGAGCGAGGGCAGGCUGAGAGUGGAGACUGAGGCGGGGUGAGAUGAUAAAGCAAAUUAAUGUCCUCCUUUCGCCGCUAAACGCACACACACGCGCGCACGCACAUAGCGAUGCUAUUUAGCGAGCUUGGGGGGAGAGUCAGUGGUU